UGGGGAAUAUUGGACAAUGGGCGCAAGCCUGAUCCAGCCAUGCCGCGUGAGUGAUGAAGGCCUUAGGGUUGUAAAGCUCUUUUGUCCGGGAAGAUAAUGACUGUACCGGAAGAAUAAGCCCCGGCUAACUUCGUGCCAGCAGCCGCGGUAAUACGAAGGGGGCUAGCGUUGCUCGGAAUCACUGGGCGUAAAGGGCGCGUAGGCGGACUUUUAAGUCGGGGGUGAAAGCCCAGGGCUCAACCCUGGAAUUGCCUUCGAUACUGGGAGUCUUGAGUUCGGAAGAGGUUGGUGGAACUGCGAGUGUAGAGGUGAAAUUCGUAGAUAUUCGCAAGAACACCGGUGGCGAAGGCGGCCAACUGGUCCGAUACUGACGCUGAGGCGCGAAAGCGUGGGGAGCAAACAGG
rnacentral:rRNA from 1 species